AGAGAAACCAAACUUCUCCGCCCAUAAUAAUGUUCACCUAAAAUACAAUGCUUUAUCUUCAAAAAUAAAUACCCAUAACUCAAAACAAUUUCGUUUGUCCACACUCCACACACAAACAAACAUUUCGAAGCAGUCCAUUUUCUUUUUCAUUUUUCACACACACUUUUCGUACAUAUAGCUAAAAUAAACAUCUUACAUAUACCAUAACUCAUAAUUCAUCCUUAAAUCACAAGUUUUCAUUUCAUCAAACAAUUUUCAGCAGCUUUUCUCAUGGAGAUUUUCUGGUUUUUCAAAAUUUUCUUGACUUUCACCUUCUUUUUCUUGAUGGGAGAUCCAUUUUUCUCUCAUUCAUCUUCUUUGCCCGAGGGAAUCGCGAAGUCUGCAGCUGUACACCGCAAUUACACCGCCAUAUCAGAGUUUCGAGUACUCAACAGAAAACCUUUGAAGGAUUGCCCCGACCUGAACCCGUAUUUGCAAAUAAACACAAGCUCCAUUGCCAAGCUUUCUGAUGAUGGAUAUAUAACAGUAAAUGUUACAGGAGUUUUACUUCCUUCGGCUACUGAUUGGGUCGCAAUGAUUUCCCCAUCUCAUGCCGUGUAAGAUGAUUAUUUUCGUAUCUAAAUAAUCUGAUUCUACGCUUGAAAAAACGGUAAAUUUAAUCUGAUCUUGCAGUGUAACAGCCUGUUUAGAAAACUCAAUUCUUUAUAAGGAGACAGGAGAUUUUAGUAGUCUUCCUCUUCUCUGCCAUUAUCCUGUUAAGGUAAGUGCAUUCUACUUUUGCAAAACGUUUGAAGGAUUAUAAUAAUCACAGUUUAAUUAGCCUUGAGAUUAUUUUAUAUUUUACUGCGCGCAGCCAUUCUUUUAAUUUAUUUCUUGACAUGCCUGGUUCAUAAUGAUCAGAAAUCUGUUUAAGUAUCAAAUAAUUCAGAAACUGAGAGUUUCUUGAAAAAUUUGUCCUUGAUCCGAUAUUUACUCGACAUAGUAACAACAACAAUAACAAACUAAUGUCGAUCGACUUGGGUUAUUGCUAAAAUUUGCAGGCUCAAUAUUUAAGAAGUGAUCCAGAUUACUUAAGUUGCAAGAAGAAGGAAUGCAAGAAAAAAGUGAAUGGAAAAUGCGUGUUGAGAACAUGUAGUGCGUCUUUGUCAUUUCAUGUCAUUAAUAUUCGAACUGAUAUCGAAUUUGUGCUGUUUGCUGGUGGAUUUGUUGCGCCUUGCAUUUUGAGAAGAUCACAGCCACUCAGAUUUGCCAAUCCAAACAAGCCUUUAUAUGGACAUAUAUCGAGUACCGAUUCAACAGCAAAAUCGGUAUGGAAUGCCAUCUCUGAUCUCCAAUAUCCAUGCAUGUGGUUGAGAAUUAAUUAUUUUAUUUUUAUUUACAACAUUUUAGAGGAAAUAGUUCGACGAUUUUUUAUUUAUUUAUUUUUGAUAAUAUGUUAUUAAAAAGCGGAAGUUAUGAAUUUCAUAAAAUGUGUGUGACUGAAAAUUAUUUGAACGAAAAAAGUUUAAGAAAAAGUUGUAUCAAACAUGCCUUUAUUUAACCCCUAUUUGGUAUAGCUAAAAAUUAAUUUUUUGUAAAUUUUAAUAAAAGUUGAUGAAAUGUAUUGAAAAGUUUGAAUCCCUUAAAUUAUUUAAUUAAAAUAAAAUUUUAAUUUUCACCAUAAUUUUUCAAUUCCUUACUCCUGUAAGAAAUGGCACAAGGCUUUGUUGACUUUGCUAUCAUUAAUUGCCUUGUCCGCCCGGCAAGAUUAUCGUUCACAAGCAUCUGCAAUUUCCUCUUUUUAAUAAAUUAAACAGCUGUGAUGGGAUGGCAACAUAUUUACCUUCUUUAUGGGAUUAAAAUCAAAAUUUAUUGAUAAAAAUUAAUAAAAUGUAUGAUUGAAAAGUUGUGAAUCCUAUAAAAUAUAUUAUUAAAUCUAAUUAUUAAUUAUAAUUAUAAUUAUAAUUUUAAAUCCUAAUGAAUGGGGACUUAAAGAUCUACCACCAACUUAACUGAGCAAUUACUGUUGUGCAGAACAAAUAUUGAAUAUUCUCACCUUUUACUGAAUUAAGUAAUUAAUUCAGUGUACUCGUGGGAUUAAAAAGUCAGCAGCAGUUGACUGCAAAAUUUUGAGGUGUGAAAGAAGAAAAAACGUAGCAGUGCUUUCAAACGUAGGGCCACAUAAUAUUAGUGCAUGGGAAGUGAUAAAUAAUUAUAUAUUUAAUUAGGUAUAUUUUUUAUGCUGAUGAGAUUAGACAUUAUAAAGAAUAGAUUUUGUAAUGUUUUUUCCCAAAGUUUGAUGCAUUAUAAUUUUGACGUGUCAAAAUUUUAGUGAGACGCAUUUUUGCCUUUAAAAAAAACAACGAAAGAGACAACAAGAUAGAGCAACAAAUGUAGACUCGUCGUGAACGCAUUAACACCUGUAUUUGAUAUGAAUAUAUUUGGUAAGAUUUGAUAUGAAUAUAUGGAGAAUAUAAUGGAUUUUUCAAAAUUGUGAUAAUUGCAGAUGAGAGUAACAUGGGUGAGUGGAAACCAACAGCCUCAACAUGUUCAAUUUGGAAAUGGGAAAUCAGUUACCUCACUUGUUUCUACUUUUUCACAAAGUGAUAUGUGCAACAGUAAGUUUCUUAUUCUCCUCGUGCUUUUGCUUAAAGUAGCUUAAAACCGUAUAUCUUUGAGACUUUUAUAAACAACCAAAUGACUUGAUUGAACAUCGUUUUGUCUACCCAUUUGAGAAGACUAAUGUUAUUCGGCACAACUAAUGUUAUAGUUUUUUCCAUGAAUUCUCGAAGGGAUUGGCAUCUUCAAUCUAGAUUAAUGUUUUAUUCUAAAAUAUUGUUUCCUUUUUAUCGAAAAUAAGCUUCCUACUUACAAAGUCCUGCCAAGGAUUUUGGGUGGCAUGACCCUGGCUACAUUCAUUCAGCUGUAAUGACAGGACUCAACCCUUCAACCAAGUACCUCUACAGAUAUGGAAGGUAAAUUUUUGUUUCCAAGUGAAAAAUAAGAAGAGGGAAAAAGAAAGCCGAAAACAUUCUGCAGUAGGAAAAUAUUUUUAAUUUCGACUGGUAAAAAAUCGAAAAACUUAUUGCAUAUACUCAGACUUACAUGUAUUAUACAUAAUUUGAACAUAUAAUACAGUGAUUCAAGUGGAUGGAGUAAUUGGACAACAUUCAAAACACCGCCUGCUGGUGGAUCAGAUGAGCUUAAAUUUCUUGCAUUUGGUGACAUGGGCAAGGCUUCUCGUGAUGCUUCUACUGAACACUAUAUACAGGUAAUAUAUAAGUGUGGAUAUGUCUGUUACAGAAAAUAUGAAUACAAUGCAAUUAUGGCUAAAAAGGGCCUUAUUUUUGGGGAUAAAUAUAGCCAGGAUCACUAUCAGUCAUCGAAGCUAUGGCCGACGAACUAUCCUCCAGUGGAGUCGACGCAAUAUAUCAUAUUGGAGACAUAAGCUAUGCCACAGGUUUUCUAGUAGAAUGGGACUUUUUCCUUCACCAAAUUAAUCCAGUGGCCUCUAAAGUUUCUUACAUGACUGCAAUUGGGAAUCAUGAGAGGUAUGCUGUUCGGUUCAAAAUUGUGUAACUGUCACAUAUUUAAUGAGAAAAUGGUUCGACGCUGUUUAAGCUUUUAGACAAACUGAUAAAAAUUCGAGGUAUUAUCUUUCAGGGAUUUUGGAGACUCCGGAUCGGUUUAUUUUACUCCGGACUCUGGUGGUGAGUGUGGGGUACCUUAUGAGACAUAUUUUCCAAUGCCAGCAGUUGCAAAGGAUAAGCCAUGGUAUUCUAUAGAACAAGGGAGUGUUCACUUUACAGUAAUUUCAACAGAGCAUAAUUGGACACAAAACUCAGAACAGGUACAUAAAUAACCUUCUUUUACACUGUUUUGUGCCUCGUUUAGCAUAGUAGGUAAUGUAAUACUAGAAAGUAGAGUAAUGUCUAAUAAGUUUAUGUUGUCUAAUACCAGGUGUAUGUUUGAUAUUGAUUUUUCUCCUCAAAACAUUCAUUUUUUGACCAUUAUUUCACUAUUUCAGCCGUCAUUUUUGACUUCUUCUCUCACAAAUUAGACACAUUUUUCUCUCUAACAGUCAAAAAAUCAAUUUUCAAAAUCACUAUCGAACAAGCCCCAGCAACAAAACUUAGCCUUACAUCUUUUCCGUCUCAUGGAACAAAAUAAUAAUUGUUGCACUUAACUUCAUUGUGUCCUUGCACAGUAUGAAUGGAUGAAGAAGGACAUGGCUUCAGUUGAUCGAUCAAGAACUCCAUGGUUAAUAUUCACGGGGUAAUUUUAUAUUUUCAAGGCCACGGCCAAUAUCUUUUUAUUGCAUUUCGAUUAGCCAACUUUUAACUAAAACUCUGCUUGUCUUCUUUCAUGAGUAGGCUAGAUGUUUAAUCAACAAUAAACUAAAUGUUUUGCGUUUUUCCUAAACAAAUUUGGAUCAGUAACAAAUUAUCAUGAAUGAAAAUUCUUGUCAGUGACCACCGACAGUAGGUCGAUAUGUGAUUUAGAUGGAAUUAUCGACAAUGAUGUUGUUGGUGAUUGUUAAUAUAUUGUCAUUAGUGAUUGUCAAUGGACCGCUUAAUUCUUGAGUCGACUCUGAUUUAAAAGAUGCACGAAUAUGUUUUUUUUACUGCUCCGUUCAUUUCAUUGCCACAUUACUUAAAUCCAAUGCCAGUAACAGAAACAUGUACAAAUAAUCAAUUCAUUAAUUUUACAUGUCAAUAAAAUUAAUGAAUAUUGCGAAUUGACUACAGGCACAGGCCCAUGUAUUCCUCCAACGACGGAAACAUUAUUUUGCCAAGCGUCGACGACAAAUUCGUCCAAGCCGUGGAGCCAUUGCUACUAGCCAAUAAGGUAAAAGUUUCCAUCGAGAACACAAAUUUUAGUAAGUACUGGCUUCGUGAUUAAUUGUACUCACUAACAUAUAAAUGGAUCUACAGGUUGAUCUUGUUCUAUUUGGACACGUUCACAACUACGAAAGAACAUGUGCCGUUUAUAAGCAACAAUGCAAGGCAAUGCCAAAGAAAGAAAGAAAUGGAAUUGAUACAUAUGAUAAUACAAAGUAUAGUGCACCAGUUCAUGCUGUUAUUGGAAUGGCUGGCUUUAGCUUGGAUAAGUUCUCCAACAAGGUAAGUAGUUACAACCUCAAGCCCUCAUAGAGACUCGUCCCCCCACUCUCAUCGUCGUCUCAAGUAUCAAACUUGGAUCCCCUGUCAAUUUUUCUUGACCUUUGGGUUUCAAAUUCAAUUUUGUAGCUUGAGAUUUCUCUAUACGAUUUAUUAAAGAUGAUCUUAAAAGAAAUCCAUGUCUUGGGACACAAAUUCUACCGGACGUUAACUCAAAAAGAAAAAAAUGUCAAGAAAGAUAUACAAAUACUCGAGCCUACAAUGAGAAUCACAGUUGCAAUUUUUCAUGGAAAAUAGUAACACAUACUAGAAUCAUGGGGACGUUUUUUUGUUCGUGAUGGACAGGGGAAGCCAUGGAGUUUGGUUAGGAUUUCCGAGUUUGGAUACACAAGAGUGCAUGCAACAAAGAAAGAGCUAAAAGUUGAGGUCAGUUCAUGAAUCUUUAUCUGCUUUAAUUUUAAAAUUGGGUGAUGCAAUAAGAACAUCAAAUUGAGUUAAUUUCUUGACAUGUUUAUAUCAUUUUGCAGUAUGUAAAUUCAAAUACAAGAAACGUUGAAGAUAGCUUCCGAAUCAUCAAAAGUUGAAAAAUGAAAAAUAUAUAGGCAGGGAGAUUUGCUUUAUAAAUAUAUUGUAAUGAAAGAACAUUGGAAAUCUUUUAAGAGCACUUGUAUUUUCUAAAUAGCUUCUCUGAUUUUUAUUUUUGAAUCUAAACUGUCUUGGUCAGUUGAUUUCAUCCCAGUUUUUGAAGAACUGUUUUUAGACUAUGACCAAACCAGUUCCCAAGCUGACAUUUUUUCCAGUCAAACUCACCAGAUCAGGCUGAUUUUUAAAACAUUGGUAAAUGUACUAUGAAUAGGAGAAAGUAAUGGACAUGAUCUUAAGAAUUCUACUCUUAAGAACAUAAAAAUGCUUGCUCUAACCAGGGCCGGUCCUGGGCUGAGGCGAGUGAGGCCCGCGCCUCAGGCCCAGGACCAUAGGGGGCCUCCUGUUGGUCCAAUUAAUUUUUUUUUUUUUUUUUUUGUAAUAAAGAAACGAGGCCAGUUUAAACUGAAAAGCGAGAUUAUAUACAGCCCCAAGCCCUAACUCAAAAUACCUUCAAAGUUCAACCGCUGGGAUCUUCAAUCUUGGCUUCUCGUUCACUUGGCGAGCGUUAAAUAUAGCAGCAAUUUUGCAUUUACACGUUUUCAGACUACUACUCCAAAAAAGAGGAUUUUAGAGAGAGAUUAAUUUUCGGUUUCCGAUUCUCAUUACCGCCGAAUCGCCGAAUGCCGAUCAACGAACGCCCACCAAUUUCUUCAUCAGCUCCAUAUUAUUUUGGUGAGUUCCCACUUCCCAUAUCAUUUUCUCUCUCUAUUAACUCCGAACGUAGCCAAUUUUUUUCAUUUUUUGAUCAUUUGCACCUUUCACGGAUGUACAUAAAAUGUACAACUUUGCGUAGAGCGUAGUUAACCUAGUUAUUUAAUUCUAAUUUUUCAUAUUUUUCUGUAUUUUAUUGUUUAUUUUUCUCAGUAAAAUUUGGUUUACUAUAGCAAUAUAUUUAGGGUUUGUAAGAUUUUCUAAUAUGUUCAAUUGAUAAUUGAUAAUGAGAUGAAAACUGUUCAUGUCUAUGUAUGAAUCCUUUUAAAAAUUUGAAAAAUGUUUAUAACAAGAAAGUAUUAGGAAAAUGAGAUUAUAUAAUUUUCACGACAAAUGGUAAUUUUUAAUAAACUUGGUGAAUCUUUUUAUGAAACUUAUUCUCAAUAUAUUUGAUUAAAUACGUAUAUAUCUUUUCUAGAGUUCAAUUUUUAUCCGAUGGGUACACAAGUUUGACACCAAAAUUACUUUCUUUCCUUAUUAUACAACUUGACGUAAUCAAGGUAAAACUCUCAUCAUAUUUUGGUGACCUCUCGAUGAGACUCUCAAUAUUUAAAACGUGAAAGUGUCCCAAAAGAGCAUUUAUAUUUCAAUUUAUUUCUCUGCAUAUCUAUUAAAAUUAUACUAGUAUUUUUAUGAAAAAAAGAGUUUAUUCAUGUCAACGUUUAAAUCGUUCCUUUGAAGAAAAGAAAAUUAACUUUUCUUAUGUAGUAGUAGAGUCAAUGUCAAUGACUGUUGCCACCAGAUUCAUUUCGUAGAAGCCAUCAUAUAAAUUAGAUACUAUAAGCCCUAAAGUGGUGACAAUCAACAUGUGCAUCCAGACCUAAAAUUGGAGUUAGAAUUUUGUCAAUAAAUAGGCUGCUGUUUGGGUUGUUGAGCAGAUAUUGAGAAGAAUGCUUAUGAAGCCAAACUGCUUCAAGAAUCUUUGUAGGAGGAAAAAAAAAAAGUUUUUGACAUCAUCAAGAAUUUUCAUCCUUAAUGGAACAUAAAUUUGUAAAGGUCUGUAAAGAGAUCUUAAUGAUACAUUGUCUUCCGAAUUCCUCUAUUAGCCUCUAGGGCUUUAAAUUUUUUUCCCUUUCUGUCGAGCUUUCUUGAUUCGUGAAUUUUCAGAUUAUUCCUCCUUGGAAGUUCACUACUGUAACUGAGUCAGUUGACACAUGUUAAUUGAUAUGAUAUGGCUUUUGGUUAUUUGAUUAUUUUGGUCUUCAGUCAAUAAAUUUGUGUUAUUGGAUAAUCAUCAUUUGUGUUAUUGGAUAAUCAUUAGCCCUUCAGUUAGACUAUCUGUGUAAUGUGUUGUUGGAUAAUCACUUUUUCUAUAUUACUAAUUUGAUAAAAUAUUAUGUUGUAAAGGAAUCAUAAUGCAAAAUGAUUCCAUCCAUUCAUCAAAAGACCCUUUUUAUGGGUUCCAAUUGAUUAGAUUACACUUCCUUUUACUCUUUGACAUAUAUUGCAUGAACAUUAUUUAUUAUCUUUAAAUGUAAUAUGCUGCAUGGUAGAGUUUAUAUAUGUAAAUAGAGAGUUAGUCCCCAACUUUUGAAAUAGAACAUUUUGGCCCUCAAUAUUCCAUUAAUAUUACAAAAUUAUUUUCAGUUGAUAGAAACGGUGCUUAACCCAAAGUGGCUCUGCCACCAUUUUGUUUCAGGCUUGUGAGUUGUGACGAGAUCAUACUCAACGGUGUAAUUUCACAAUUAUAGUCAAAAUUUCACUUCUCAGGUAAGCAAUGG
rnacentral:lncRNA from 1 species